rnacentral:lncRNA from 1 species
GCUGCUGAUGCCUGCUGACGUUACCAUGAAGGCUGCUGCCACCCAAAGGGACCAUCAGGAUCCUGCUGCUUGGAUCACAAGCAUGGCAUUAUCAAGAGAUUGGCUCAAACACCAUCUCCUCAGUGUAGACCUUCGUGAUGCUGCCAAGAAGAAUUAACACCUUUUUCAUCCCAUGUCCUCCAGCAGUGUGUGUCUGUGUGUGUCCCUAUUAAGAAAUUGAAGUUCCUCAAAGGCAAGAAUCAUGUUUUUCAUUUCU